ensembl:lncRNA
CUGGGUCAUGCACAGUGAUGUUUGUGUCAUUAAAGGUUUUUAAUAUUUUUUUUCACAUCAUAUCUAAAGCAGCUGUGUAGUAAUUAAUACAUUUGCCUCACAAGUGACAGGUUACUGAUUAACUAAUCCCUUAAAAUAACCAGUGAAAUGUGAAAGAAUCACCUAUAUCCUAAACAGCCUGAUGGUCAAUGGAAACUUUAUUGUCCCCAAUGGGAAACUGGAUCAUGAAAACAGCAGCAGCUAUAAAAGACUCUUGAUGUCUCUUGGUCUUCACUGCAGACGACCUGAGGAAAGCAGCUGAAAAUCAUUAAAGAGAGGAUGGUCUGAACAUAUAAUCACACAGGUCACCUUCCUCAGCACCUGCCUGUUAUAAAAGUCCACAAACUGAACCUGAGUCCUCCCUGAAAACUGACCAGCCACUUUAACCAGUUUACUAAGUCUGGUCUUAUUGGUCAAAGACAAAUUACCAUUCAAAGCAAUGAUGCAAAACAUUAAAACAGAUUCAAUAGAAAUUUUAUUUAAAAGGAUCAUUUCAGAUGAAACAUUAAAACCUCUUUUAAAAAGUACAGUCACUGUUGGACCUUUUUCACUGUAGCAUCAAAGUGUGACUCAAAGGACAGAAACUAAUCAAGAACAACCACCAAAUACUUAGAACUGUCCACCAGUUCAAUGGCUGCAGCCUUUACUACUGUUAGUGCAGGAUGAUGUUGAUGUUUGUUGAUCUCUAACAAUGGCUGAUCACACCAAGAAGCAAACAUCCACAACAGGCCCAUGGGAAUCCUCUUCACCAUGAAGGAGACUCACAAUGACUGUGUGGUGAUGAUGAUGAUGAGCUGAAGCAAUGAGGAAAUACAACAGAGUAAACGCACAGAAUAGAUGCACACACCCAACAAACAUUUGUCACGAUUCCAGUCAGUCAGAGGUACGGAGCCUCUUUUAUUCAGACGUCAGUGUCACUUUUAACUGUCUACUCCUCCACCCUCUGCUCUCAGCUUGUUGUCUCUGUGUAGAUGUAGUAACAGUAACAUAUGAGAAACUUUAUUUCCUCUGGUUGGUUUCAGAAGCUUGAUUGGUCCGUUCUGCUGACUGGAAGCAUCAGAGCACCUUUCUUUGUAGACAGAUGCUGUUUGCAAAAUAAUUAAAUGGCAUGUGAUAAAAUUAUUUUGUUUUGCUUAUAACUUAAUAUAAAUGUGGCUUCAUGCUUGGCAACUGAAAGGUUGCUGGUUUGAUUCCAGCUAUAGACACUAAACCUCUCUGGGAUUGUGUCAGGAUGGGUAUUUAGUUUAAAACUGCCAAAUCAAACAUGGAGCUUUAGCAACCUCCUGUGACACGAGGUUGAUGUGUUAUUGCAGGACUUUUGAUGUAAGUUAAAGAUUUUCUUUAAAAAAAAGAAAAAGACAGCAAAUACUUUCAGUGUGGGUGUGUCCACACAGGCCUUUAUUAAUUAUAAUAAUCAGUGGCGGUCCUAGCCUGUUUGGCGCCCCGGGCGAACACGCCCUCUGGCGCCCCCCCCCCCCCACACACACACACACACACACACAUACACAUACAGUUAAGCCCAUAAUUAUUCAUACCCCUGGCAAAUUUUGACUUAAAGUUACUUUUACUCAACUAGCAAGUUAUUUUUUGACUGGAAAUGACACAGGCGUCUCACAAAAGAUAAUAAGAUGAUGUACAAGAUGCAUCAUUGUGGAAAAAAAUAUUUCUCAGCUUUUAUUUACAUUUUAGCAAAAAGUAUCAUGUCCAGAAUUAUUCAUACCCUUUACAAACUGUCACAGUCUCUGGGAAAAUCCAAAGUUCCAUACCAUUCCAAAUAGUCAAAGCUGUUUGUAAGGAGUAAAUAUUUAAACAAGACAUUCUUCAGGCGAAAUAAAGACACUCAAGACAGUUUAGAUGGUAACAACGUGCGCACGCUGGGUGAGCGCUGCUGUCUCAGGCUCACAACCAGCAUUUGUGGCAGUUCUUUAUUUAUAGCGUUUCAGAGUAUGUGUGUGUGUGUGUUUUAUGAUCUCAGAGUGUGUGUGUGUGUGUGAUUCUGAAGAAUGGGCCCCUCUUUGUAUUUGGGAGUGUAUAGAUAAGAACGUCCUGCUCUCCCCUUCCUGGGAGUGAAACGGCUCAUAGAGAGCCAGGUGCAGAGGAAAUAUACUGGGUGAAUCAUAUCUGAGAACACUAUGCUUUUGUCUUUCAUUUAAGCUUCACUUCAGCGAAACAGUAAAAUACGAUUAAAUGGAAAGAAUAAAUGGGUAAACAACUAUUAACACUAAAAUUAAAGAUAAACUUUCAAUAACGUACAAAUGGCAGUGGGAAUAAUACUUGAAACAUUUGAAAAUCUCUUAACA